UACGUAGGGUGCAAGCGUUGCCCGGAUUUAUUGGGCGUAAAGGGCGCGUAGGCGGCCUGUUAAGUCGAACGUGAAAUCCCCGGGCUCAACCCGGGAACUGCGUCCGAUACUGGCAGGCUUGAAUUCGGGAGAGGGAUGUGGAAUUCCAGGUGUAGCGGUGAAAUGCGUAGAUAUCUGGAGGAACACCGGUGGCGAAGGCGGCAUCCUGGACCGAUAUUGACGCUGAUGCGCGAAAGCCAGGGGAGCAAACGGG
rnacentral:rRNA from 1 species